rnacentral:lncRNA from 1 species
UUUUAUCAAGCGUAAGCAAAAAUAUUGCGGAUGGCUUUUAUACUAUUGAACAGAACAUGAUUUUAUAUUAAAAAAAAUAGAAAAAGGGAUAAAAUAUUAAAACGAAAAUGAAAGGUAUAAAUAAGAAUAGAAAAUAGAAAUAGAGUAUAUAACUGCAGUUUAAAAAUGAAAUCACCUCGUGAAGAGAAUUGAUCAUAAGAUUGAAUGAAUAUAAUCAUAAGAGUCAUUUGUAAUCUUGUGAAUGUUUCUAAAUAAUAAAAGCUUUUCAUUUGUAUACAACGUUUUUCUUUUGAGUCACCACGAUAAACAUUUAAAUAUUUUCCAGAUACUAGUCUUCUAUUCUUCUACUAAAAAAAAAAAAAAACAAUACUAGUCUUUUAUAUCUUGAUUUUGCUAAAUUUUCUAUGUAGUUGUACCCACUAUGUAUUUGUAAAUUUAGAAUAUUAACUAUAAGUUGGUUUCAAAAAAAAAAAAAGAAUAUUUAAUGUAUAAGUAUUUGGUAUAA